UACAGAGGGUGCGAGCGUUAAUCGGAAUGACUGGGCGUAAAGGGCGCGUAGGUGGAUAAUUGUGUUGGAUGUGAAAGCCCCGGGCUUAACCUGGGAAUGGCAUACAAAACUGGUUAUCUAGAGUGGAGCAGAGGUGAGUGGAAUUUCCGGAGUAGCGGUGAAAUGCGUAGAUACCGGAAGGAACACCAGUGGCGAAGGCGACUCACUGGGCUUUUACUGACACUGAGGCGCGAAAGCGUGGGGAGCAAACAGG
rnacentral:rRNA from 1 species